rnacentral:tRNA from 1 species
GUGUGCAUAAUUUAGAUAAAAUAUUAGAUUGUGGUUCUAAAAACGAGGGUUAAACCCCCCCUUCACACC